rnacentral:rRNA from 1 species
UACGUAGGGUGCAAGCGUUGUCCGGAAUUAUUGGGCGUAAAGAGUUCGUAGGCGGUCUGUCGCGUCGGAUGUGAAAACCCAGGGCUCAACCCUGGGCCUGCAUUCGAUACGGGCAGACUAGAGUUCGGUAGGGGAGACUGGAAUUCCUGGUGUAGCGGUGAAAUGCGCAGAUAUCAGGAGGAACACCGGUGGCGAAGGCGGGUCUCUGGGCCGAAACUGACGCUGAGACGCGAAAGCUAGGGGAGCGAACAGG